rnacentral:pre_miRNA from 1 species
CAGGCUGAAAGAACUUUGGCCACCUGGCACUGAGAACUGAAUUCCAUAGGCUGUGAGCUCUAGCAAUGCCCUGUGGACUCAGUUCUGGUGCCCGGCAGUGCUACAACAUCAAUGCCAAG